AUUGAACGCUGGCGGCAUGCCUUACACAUGCAAGUCGAAAGGCAGCGCGGGGCAACCUGGCGGCGAGUGGCGAACGGGUGAGUAACAUAUCGGAACAUACCCUAGAGUGGGGGAUAACGUAGCGAAAGUUACGCUAAUACCGCAUACGCACUAAGGUGGAAAGUGGGGGAUUCGCAAGAACCUCAUGCUCAUGGAGUGGCCGAUAUCUGAUUAGCUAGUUGGUGAGGUAAAGGCUCACCAAGGCGACGAUCAGUAGCUGGUUUGAGAGAACGACCAGCCACACUGGAACUGAGACACGGUCCAGACUCCUACGGGAGGCAGCAGUGGGGAAUUUUGGGACAAUGGGGGCAACCCUGAUCCAGCAAUGCCGCGUGAGUGAAGAAGGCCUUCGGGUUGUAAAGUCUCUUUGUCUAGGGAAGGAAACGGU
rnacentral:rRNA from 1 species